CAGUGGGUCCCCAUGUAACAUUUUUUCUCAGAAAAAUUCAUUACAUAUUCAGUUUUCUGUUUACACUUAUGUUCAAAGCAAGCUCUUGGUCUUGGUCUAGGUCUCUGCUCGUCGCAACCCUCAACCCAGCUCUUGCAGCAAAUCUGAGUUAUAAAAGUAUUGAUCUUGAUGGGGACUUCUGUUAAUAACGGGGAACCUGUCAUGGACACAAAUGACUGGGGAACUCAAUUGUCAUCUGAUUCACGACAGAAGAUCGUCAACAAGAUACUGGAAACACUAAAGAAGCACCUUCCAUUUUCUGAACCAGAAGGAAUUAACGAGCUCAAAAGAAUUGCUGCCAGGUUCGAGGAUAAAGUUUUCAGCAGUGCUGUUCACCAGACUGAUUACCUCCGGAAAAUAUCCUUGAAGAUGUUGAUUAUGGAGACUAAAGAUCAGAACGCAGCUGGUUCCUCUCCUUCUAUCCCUGCUGAUAGUAACAACCCAGCCUUGGAUGAUCAACUGGACAAUCUCAUGAUUAAUGUAGAGCGUUUUCUCCUGAACGAAGAACCUGCCAUGAACUCAGGUGACUGGAGAGCUCAACUGCCACCGGAUUCACGCCAGAAGAAUGUUGACAAGUUAAUGGAAACUCUGGAGAAACAUGUUCCGUAUUCGGGGCAAGAAGGAGUUGAGGAGCUCAGGAGAAUUGCUGUCAGCUUCGAGGAGUUAAUAUUCAACACUGCUAUAAACCAGGGGGAUUACUUUCACAAAAUAUCGUUAAAGAUGCAGACUAUGGAAGAGGACGACUAAAUAAAAUUGCUUUGAAGGUGGCGUUUUGAACUUUCAGGCGAUUCCAUAUAUAUGUAUUGAUAAUAUUAAGAACAGAGCUUGAAAGCCUCCAAAGUUAAAGACAUGAAUAAAAGAAUGGUAAUUCCGUUUUUAUAAUCGGUAACAUAUUUCUUGCGGAGGAAGCCUCGCCUUGCUCUCUCUCAUGUUAAGUCAGGCUUGUAGUCCUCCUCUUCGGUAUUUAUUGAAUGUGUGCAACUGUACAAUGAAACCUUGCAACCAUUAAUGAUUGCAAUCUUUGCUAA